rnacentral:rRNA from 1 species
UACGUAGGGUGCGAGCGUUAAUCGGAAUUACUGGGCGUAAAGCGUGCGCAGGCGGUUGUGUAAGACAGAUGUGAAAUCCCCGGGCUCAACCUGGGAAUUGCAUUUGUGACUGCACGGCUAGAGUGUGUCAGAGGGGGGGUAGAAUUCCACGUGUAGCAGUGAAAAUGCGUAGAGAUGUGGAGGAACACCGAUGGCGAAGGCAGCCCCCCUGGGCUAACACUGACGCUCGAUGCACGAAAGCGUGGGGAGCAAACAGGA